rnacentral:tRNA from 1 species
UGCCCGAUAGCUCAGUCGGUAGAGCGCCUGGCUGUUAACCAGGAGCGCGGAGGUUCGAAGCCUCCUCGGGCAGCCA